AUAAUAUUACUUUGGCGUUUUUUGUUUUUUGGUUCGCUUCGAUCGGUUUUGUGUUUAUUUUCUAGUGAGUUGCUGGCAGUGUGCCUGCCUCGUUUUCUGUGUGUGAUCGUCGUUGGCGUUGUCGACGUCGUCGUCCGUCAUCUUCUUCUUCUAUUUGCAAAAACAUUCAUACACACUUACAUACACGACAGACAUACGCACAUGCAAACCAACAAACGCAAAUCUUUAAGUGGCUCUUACUAGAGAAGUAUCUAUCUCUUUUGAAUGGGGAAUGUGGGGAUGGGAUGGGUACGCAAAAUACUUCCACGCACACACACACACACACACACACACUUGCGCCCAGCACAUUAGAUAGCUAUAUAGGGUAUGUAUAAACGUGUGCGCCGCUACAUCACAAAUCUAUCUUUUUUCGCACACAUGGCCGCGCGAAUUAUGUUAUAGGGUCUUGGAAUUGGGCACACACACACACAUACAGGCCUACAUACGUACAUACAGAUGUAGUAUGUAAAACCAUAUGUUGAACUUUUUUAAAUAGGAAAUUCGUAAAAUUUUUCUUAUUGAGGCAGACCCACUCGUCGCAACGCGCCACACCAACAACAAUAGCAAAAAAUAUUUACCCCAAAAAAAAAAAAAAAAGAAAGAAAAACGGCAACGUGAGCGCAAAUAUGAUCACCGUUUGCCGAAUUCAGCGAUGGUUGUGGUAGUGCCUCUGCUGCGGCGGCUCUGCUGGUGGGGCGCUGCGGCUGAUAUUCUCGCUCUCAAACACUUGGCGAAUUUGUAGUAGUUGGCGGCGGCGGUUCGCAACAUUAAGUUGAUCAUAAAAGCAUUAGUUACAUAUUUGUAAUAUAGCGCUUAACAUAAGAAAAUACAAUUCGGAAAUUCGUUAGUUAGCAACAACAACAAAACAAAAUAAGCAAUUACAACAAAAAGAAAUUAUUAAAUUGAAAACAAAAAAAAAAAAAAAAAACAUCUUCAAGUGCCUUAUACCUACCCACCAACUUACAUUGUACAUACAUACAUAUAUACUACCUACAAACUACCCAUGAAUCUGUCCAUCUUCUACAAAUCAAUGCAAACCCAUGGAUAAAUGAUAUAACAAUACCAAUGUACCUACACACAAUUUCUGACAAAUUACAAACCACCCAUAUCUGUUAAAUACCUACAACCGAAACAUAUCCACGAAGCAAGCAAAGCCAACCAAGUCCACACUAAACCAAAUUUUGCUAUUCAAAAAUAGAAGAGAAAAAACAAAACUUUUUUGUGAAAAUGUGCCGUUUAAAAUUUAUGGUGUAAACUUUAAGAGGAGUUUUGAGUUUGAGAAAGAAAAAGAAAUCAACAACAAAAUUGGUGUACAAUUUCUUCAAAUUUUCAUCGACAAUAAUUGGUUUUGAAAUUCAUCGAAUCUGCGAGUGUGUGUCUGAUUGUCUGUGACCAGCGCCACAUUUCCAGAAAAUUGGCAUUCAAAAUUUCAAAAAAAAAAAA
rnacentral:sRNA from 1 species